GCGUCAGAGACAAGCGUCACAAGCCUCCGCCACCACACCACAAAUCGCAUCGAACUCUACGGGCCCAGGCGCCCAGCGUUCAUUCAUCGCCUUCACCGCCACACGCUGCCACGCGCCAUAUAUAACCAGCCGUUCCCUCCUCUCAUGCUCCCCUUUCCAAAUCCGUCUCCGCCCUCACGCACGCGGCCCAACUAGCCUAACAAACCCUAGCUAGAUUUAGAAAAAAAAUUUGUCCCCAAUCCGAACCGACGAGGAGCUCGCCGCCGUGAGAUGUCCGAGUACGACGAGCGCUACCAGGGCAACGGCGACAUGCCCGCAGCCGAAGGCGGCUAUCCGCAGGCCGAGUACGCCGCCGCCGCCGCGCCUGCCGCCGGGGGUUCGCCGCCCGCAGACAGCAAGCCCUCCGGGUUCUCCGACCACGCCGACGGCCGCUCCUCCCAGCACCAGCACGAGACACAAUCACAUGACAGUGGUUCCUCGAAAUCUCGAGAAAGGGACCGAGAACGCGAUAAGGGCAAGGAUAGGGAGCGUGACAGGGAUCGUGGCCGAGAAAAGGGGAGGGACCGAGACAGGGAUAAGGAUCGUGAAAGAAGUGACAGAGAUCGCGAUCGCCACCACAGGGACCAUCGAGAGCGCAGCGAGAAAAGGGAACACCGUGAUCGUUCUGAUGAUCGUGACCGUCACCGUGAUGGUCGUGACCGCCACCGUGAUGAUCGUGAUUCUGAGAGGAGAAGAGAUCGUGACAGAGAUGGUCAUCGUAGGCAUCGCUCCCGCUCCCCUUCUAAGAGUCGUGACCGUGACCGCAGAUCUAGAUCUCGUUCACGCUCUCGAUCAAAGAGCAAGCGCGUGAGUGGUUUUGACCAAGCACCUCCACAACAUGCACUUCCUAUUGUUGCUGCUGGUGCUAUCCCUGGUCAGCUUCCUGGUAUCACUGCUCCUAUUCCCGGGGUUGGGGUGCUUCCGAACUUGUAUAAUUUGGCUGCAGGACAGUUCAACCCCCUUGUUAUUCAGCCACAAGCCAUGACACAACAGGCUACCCGGCAUGCUCGGCGUGUCUAUGUGGGUGGACUUCCUCCAACAGCUAAUGAGCAGACCGUUGCCAUAUUCUUCAAUGGAGUUAUGGCUGCUAUUGGAGGAAACACAGCUGGUCCAGGUGAUGCUGUUCUUAAUGUCUAUAUAAACCAUGACAAGAAAUUUGCUUUUGUGGAGAUGAGAUCUGUGGAGGAAGCAAGCAAUGCAAUGGCUUUAGAUGGCAUAAUGUUUGAGGGAGCACCAGUGAAGGUUAGAAGACCAACGGACUAUAAUCCUUCCCUAGCAGCUGCUCUUGGCCCGAGCCAGCCAAAUCCAAAUCUCAAUCUUGCUGCUGUUGGCUUAACACCUGGCUCUGCUGGAGGAUUAGAAGGUCCAGACCGGAUCUUUGUAGGUGGUCUACCAUAUUAUUUCACUGAGGCUCAAGUGCGGGAGUUGCUCGAGUCCUUCGGACCUCUGCGUGGAUUCGAUCUUGUGAAGGAUAGAGAAACUGGUAACUCGAAGGGAUAUGCCUUCUGUGUUUACCAGGAUCUUAAUGUCACCGACAUUGCCUGUGCUGCCCUUAAUGGCAUCAAGAUGGGGGACAAGACUCUUACUGUUAGGAGGGCAAACCAAGGAGCUUCUCAGCCUAGGCCAGAGCAAGAGAGCAUCCUGCUGCAGGCACAGCAGCAGGUGCAAAUGCAGAAACUCGUAUACCAAGUCGGAGGUGCCCUGCCGACAAAAGUUGUCUGCCUGACACAGGUAGUGACAGCAGAUGAACUGAGAGACGAUGAGGAAUACAAUGACAUUGUGGAGGACAUGAGGGAAGAAGGACGCAAAUAUGUCCCACAUAAUGCCAUUGCAGAGUGUUUUAUAGUCCGACCCUAUGCAAUAUUGGCAAUCGGGCUUUAACCCACAGAAGACACUAUUCUUUUGAGUUUGAUUAAUCAUUAUAUCAUUAGCCUCUUGCCUAUAUAUCUCUACUCACUAACACUUGGACAGGUAACUUGGUGAAAGUUGUAAUUCCACGACCUGACCCCAGCGAUGCUCCAGUUGCUGGUGUUGGAAAGGUGUUUUUGGAAUAUGCAGAUGUCGAGGGCUCGACCAAAGCAAAGACGGGGAUGCAUGGGCGGAAAUUUGGCGGGAACCAGGUGGUGGCCGUGUUCUAUCCCGAGGACAAGUUCGCUGCUGAGCAGUAUGACUGAAAGUUGUAGAACCUGUUCUAGAGUUGCAACACACAAUGUGUGUGUUUUUUUUAAAAUCUUUGAGGGUACCGUUUUCUCUUGAAUUUGAAUCUUAUCUAGUUAUAAGUUUGGUGCAGGACCAGUCGAUAAGCGAUAAGUUUGUGCAGGACCAUUAGGCUUUGUUUGGGUAAUUAGUAUUGAUCCCAAUCCAAAUCUAUAUAUGUUAAUGCCUUGUUCAGUUAUUCUUAUUCCAUAUGGAUUGGAGUGUAUCGGAAUGAGUUUUGACUUGCUA